GUGAGAGGUGAUACAGAUUAUACAGACAUACACUCCCUCAGGUACAGUGGGGCAAAAAAGUAUUUAGUCAGCCACCAAUUGUGCAAGUUCUCCCACUUAAAAAGAUCAGAGAGGCCUGUCAUUUUCAUCAUAGGUACACUUCAACUAUGGCAGACAAAAUGAGAAAAAACAAUCCAGAAAAUCACAUUGUAGGAUUUUUAAUGAAUGUAUUUGCAAAUUAUGGUGGAAAAUAAGUAUUUGGUCAAUAACAAAAGUUUAUCUCAAUACUUUGUUAUAUACCCUUUGUUGGCAAUGACAGAGGUCAAACGUUUUCUGUAAUUCUUCACAAGGUUUUCACACACUGUUGCUGGUAUUUUGGCCCAUUCCUCCAUGCAGAUCUCCUCUAGAGCAGUGAUGUUUUGGGGCUGUUGCUGGGCAACACAGAAUUUCAACUCCCUCCAAAGAUUUUCUAUGGGGUUGAGAUCUGGAGACUGGCUAGGCCACUCCAGGACCUUGAAAUGCUUCUUACGAAGCCACUCCUUCAUUGCCCGGGUGGUGUGUUUGGGAUCAUUGUCAUGCUGAAAGACCCAGCCACAUUUAAUCUUCAAUGCCCUUGCUGAUGGAAGGAGGUUUUCACUCAAAAUCUCACGAUACAUGGCCCCAUUUAUUCUUCCCUUUACACGGAUCAGUCGUCCUGGUCCCGUUGCAGAAAAACAGCCCCAAAGCAUGAUGUUUCCACCCCCAUGCUUCACAGUAGGUAUGGUGUUCUUUGGAUGCAACUCAGCAUUCUUUGUCCUCCAAACAUGACGAGUUGAGUUUUUAACAAAAAGUCCUAUUUUGGUUUGAUCUGACCAUAUGACAUUCUCCCAGUCUUCUUCUGGAUCAUCCAAAUGCUCUCUAGCAAACAUCAGACGGGCCUAGACAUGUACUGGCUUAAGCAGGGGGACACGUCUGGCACUGCAGGAUUUGAGUCCCUGGCGGCGUAGUGUGUUACUGAUGGUAGGCUUUGUUACUUUGGUCUCAGCUCUCUGCAGGUCAUUCACUAGGUCCCCCCGUGUGGUUCUGGGAUUUUUGCUCACCGUUCUUGUGAUCAUUUUGACCCCACGGGGUGAGAUCUUGCGUGGAGCCCCAGAUCGAGGGAGAUUAUCUGUGGUCUUAUAUGUCUUCCAUUUCCUAAUAAUUGCUCCCACAGUUGAUUUCUUCAAACCAAGCUGCUUACCUAUUGCAGAUUCAGUCUUCCCAGCCUGGUGCAGGUCUACAAUUUUGUUUCUGGUGUCCUUCGACAGCUCUUUGGUCUUGGCCAUAGUGGAGUUUGGAGUGUGACUGUUUAAGGUUGUGGACAGGUAUUUUAUACUGAUAACAAGUUCAAACAGGUGCCAUUAAUACAGGUAACGAGUUGAGGAAAGAGGAGCCACUUAAAAAAGAAGAUACACGUUUGUGAGAGCCAGAAAUCUUGCUUGUUUGUAGGUGACCAAAUACUUAUUUUCCACCAUAAUUUGCAAAUUAAUUCAUUAAAAAUCCUACAAUGUGAUUUUCUGGAAUUUUUUUCUCAUUUUGUCUGUCAUAGUUGAAGUGUACCUAUGAUGAAAAUUACAGGCCUCUCUCAUAUUUUUAAGUGGGAGAACUUGCACACUUGGUGGCUGACUAAAUACUUUUUUGCCCCACUGUAUUCUCAGCCUUGUCUCAGAAUAGUAAGUUGGUGGUUUGAAGAUAUCCCUCUAGUGGUGUGGGGGGCUGUGCUUUGGCAAAGUGAGUGGGGUUAUAUCCUGGCCACAGUGUCUCCCGACCCCUCCUGUCUCAGCCUCUAGUAUUUAUGCUGCAGUAGUUUGUGUCAGGGGGCUAGAAUCAGUCUGUUAUAUCUGGAGUCCUGUGUAAAUUUAAGUAUGCUCCCUCUAACUCUCUCUCUCUCUCUUCUCUCAGAGGACCUGAGCACUAGGACCAUGCUUCGGGACUACCUGGCCUGAUGACUCCUUGCAGUCCCCAGUCCACCUGGUCGUGCUGCUGCUCCAGUUUCAACUAUUGUGCCUGCGGCUAUGGAACCCUGACCUGUUCACCGGAUAUGCUAUCUUGUCCCGAACCUGCUGUUUUCGACUCUCUCUCUCUCUACCGCACCUGUUGUCUCUAACUCCGAGUGAUCGGCUAUGAAAAGCCAAUUGACAUUUACUCCUGAGGUGCUGACCUGUUGCACCCUCUGCAACCACAGUGAUUAUUAUUAUUUUACACUGCUGGUCAUCUAUGAAGGUUUGAACAUCUUGGCCAUGUACUGUUAUAAUCUCCAGCCGGCACAGCCAGAGGAGUACUGGCCACCCCUCACAGCCUGGUUCCUCUCUAGGUUUCUUCCUAGGUUCCUGCCUUUCUAGGGAGUUUUUCCUAGCCCCCGUGCUUCUACAUUUGCAUUGCUUGCUGUUUGGAGUUUUAGGCUGUGUUUCUGUAUAGCACUUUGUGACAUCGACUGAUGUAAAAUGGCUUUAUAAAUACAUUUGAUUAUUUGAUUGAUUGAUUGAUCAGGAAAAUGCCAUAGAUUACUCUGGCCCAUGAAAGCGGUGUCCUGGUUUGCUCUCCAGAGCACAGCGCCACUGAAAGGAGUGAUAACUGGGGUGAGGUUGAGUGUUAAGGUGGGUCAACUGAAGUCGGGGAUCCCGGUUGUCUGUGUUGCACGCCGUUUGGUGGUGAAUGAUUCAGUGUGUUUGCCAGAUAAAGUCAUAAAGUCAUAGAACUUAUCUCGUGAGAGCUUUUGUUACGAACCCAGUACCGUGUUUCAGGUGUCAAGUUUAUGCUCAAGUGUACAGGAGGGGAUGGGACAAAAGAGUGAGUAGUUUCGGUGGAAAAAGUGGAGCGUGUCAAUUGUGGGGAUGGCUAUGUUGCUGGGGAUCAGAAAUGUCCUGUGCGAGUGAGACAGGGUGAGGUUGCCAGGGUGAGAGCAGUGCAUAAAGUGUCAUAUGCUGAGGCAGUGAGGAAAGUAGAAGAUGGUGGGUUAAGGGUGAGGGAGCCUGAGAGGAUCCCUGUGAGUAGUAGGCCAGGACAGAGUGACCCCAACAAUUUGUGCUUUAGUAAGUCUUCUUGGUGUUUAUUGCUAUGGUCAUUAAUUGUACCGCACAGAUGGAAAGGAAAUCCCAGAAGAUUGAAUUUGUAGUAACAGCAGCAGAGAUGUUUGGACACAUCUACUCAUUCAAGGGUUUUCUUUAUUUUUCUACAUUGUAGAUUAAUAGUGAAGACAUCAAAAUUAUGAAAUAAGACACAUGGAAUCAUGUAGUAACAAAACAAGUGUUAAACAAAUCAAAAUAUAUUUUAUAUUUGCGAUUCUUCAAAGUAGCCACCCUUUGCCUUGAUGACAGCUAUGCACACUCUUGGCAUUCCCUCAACCAGCUCCAUGAGGAAUGCUUGAAGGAGUUCCCAUAUAUGCUGAGCACUGCUUUUCCUUCACUCUGUGGUCCAACUCAUCCUAAACCAUCUCAAUUGGUUUGAGAUUGGGUGAUUGUGAUUGUGAUUGGGGAGGCCAGGUGAUCUGAUGCAGCACUCCAUCACUCUCCUUCUUGAUCAAAUAUCCCUUACACAGCCUGGAGGUGUGUUGGGUCAUUGUCCUGUUGAAAAACAAAUGAUAGUCCUAAGCGCAAACCAGAUGGGACGGCGUAUCGCUGCAGAAUGCUGUGGUAGACGUGCUGGUUAAGUUUGCCUUGAAUUCUAAAUAAAUCACAGACAGUGUCAACAGCAAAGCACCCCCAAACCAUCACACCUCCUCCUCCAUGCUUCACCAACUCUGCGUCUCGCAAAGAUUUUACCUCCCAUGCUGUUGGUGGUGGUAACGCACCAUCCUCUCUGGCACCAUUCGACAUCCUGUCUCACCUCGCAUGUCUUACAUCAUCUGUGGCGUGAAACACUAUUGCAAAAAAAGUGAGAAGGGGAAAAUUGAACCACUAUCUAACCCUGCACUUAUACGCUACUCUCAAAAACCCACCACCCCAUCCCACGACUUUGGCCCCAACGAUCCUACAUCAGACGCGCCCUGUAGAUCUUCUGCACUUAAACCUCUCACAUCCAAAUAUGUAUCUGCUGCUGCAACCACUACAUCUACAAUGCCUUCAGGAAGUAUUCACACCGCUUGACUUUUUCCAAAUUUUGUUGUGUUAGAGUGGGAUUCAUUGUAAUUUUUUGGUCAACGAUCUACACAAAAUAAUGUAAUGGCUCUGUAAUGUCAAAAUGUAAUGUCAAAAUCCUAACAUUGACAAAUUAAUGAAAAAUUAAACAAUAAUCUAUAUCUUGAUGAGAUAAGAGUCAGAAACACCUUUGGCAGUGAUUAAAGCUGUGAGUCUGUUUGGGUUAAGUUUCCCAAGAGAUUUGCACACCUGACCUGUACAAUAUUUGCCAAUUAUUCUUGAUCAUUGCUCGAUAGCCAUUUUCAAGUCUUCCCAUAGAUUCUCAAGCCGAUUUAAGUCAAAAUUGUAAGCCAAAACUAAGCCACUCAGGAACAUUCAAUGUCGUCUUGAUAAGCAACUCCAGUGUCGAUUUGGCCUUGUGUUUGAAGUUAUCGUCAUGCUGAAAGGUGAAUUCGUCUCCCAGUGUCUGUUGAAAAGCAGACUGAACCAGGUUUUCCUCUAGGAUUUUGCCUGUGCUUAGCUAUAUUCCGUUUCUGUUUAUCCCCCCAAAAAAACUCCCUAGUCCUUGCCGAUGACAAGCAUACCCAUAACAUGAUGUUUGAAGAGUGGUACUGUGUUAUGUUGGAUUUUCCCAAAACAUAACGCUUUGUAUUCAGGACAUAAAGUUCCUUUCUUUGACACAUUGUUUGCCUUGUUGCAAACAGGAUGCAUGUUGUGGAAUAUUUUUAUUCAGCAAAAUGCUUCCUUCUUUUCACUCUGACAAUCAGGUUAGUAUUGUGGAGUAAUUACAAUGUUGUUGAUCCAUCCUCAGUUCUCUCAUAUCACAACCAUUAAACUCUGUAACUGUUUUAUAAUCACCAUCGGCCUUGUGGUGAAAUCCCUGAGCAGUUUCCUUCCUUUCUGACGCCUGUAUCUUUGUAGUGACUGGGAUUUAUACACCAUCCAAAGCCUAAUUAAUAACUUCACCAUGCUCAAAGAGAUGUUGAGCGUCAUUAAAAAAAAUAUUUGUACACAUCUA